rnacentral:lncRNA from 1 species
UGCUCUCAAGCCCCACACAGCAUCCCUGCCUUCCAGAAUACAGGGCUGCAGUCAGGAGUCCAGCAACAGGCUGCAGACCAAGGAAUGACCUUUGGGAUCCUAACCCAAGACAAGGAUUUAUCAAGCAGGGAGGCAGCCUUUGGAUGUGAACUUGUUAGGACAACUACUGUAUAAAAAUUGAGCUAAGAUGAACCUAUUCUUCCCAGAGACCAAAGUGGAAAAGAGUUUUAGAGGGAGUAAAAAGUGGAAGAGGUCUAACAAUAGGAUUACCAAAAAAGAGAAAGAAAAAAGAAUCAUCAAAGCAUUUUUAAAGGCAGAAAAGAGAACAGAAGGCCAACAGCAAACCAAUAAUCAAGAUGAUUUUGCAGAUAACAUACUGAAUUUACUAUAUAUUUUAAAAGGAGUCGACAAGCAAUUCCACUGGGUUGUACAAAUGUUGUCACUUUACAAAGGGUAUUAA